rnacentral:rRNA from 1 species
GUGGGGAAUAUUGGACAAUGGGCGCAAGCCUGAUCCAGCCAUGCCGCGUGAGUGAUGAAGGCCCUAGGGUUGUAAAGCUCUUUUGUGCGGGAAGAUAAUGACGGUACCGCAAGAAUAAGCCCCGGCUAACUUCGUGCCAGCAGCCGCGGUAAUACGAAGGGGGCUAGCGUUGCUCGGAAUCACUGGGCGUAAAGGGUGCGUAGGCGGGUCUUUAAGUCAGGGGUGAAAUCCUGGAGCUCAACUCCAGAACUGCCUUUGAUACUGAAGAUCUUGAGUUCGGGAGAGGUGAGUGGUACUGCGAGUGUAGAGGUGAAAUUCGUAGAUAUUCGCAAGAACACCAGUGGCGAAGGCGGCUCACUGGCCCGAUACUGACGCUGAGGCACGAAAGCGUGGGGAGCAAACAGGAUUAGAAACCCCAGUAGUCC